AGACAACAAAAUGUUAAAUAUUAUUUUGUCACCUUAGGUCGAUCGGUACCUCACGUUUUUAAUUUAUUAAAAAUUUCAUUUCCUAAGUUUUUCUAGGUCACACCCAUUAUUUUUCCUGGGCCAUUAGCUCAGGUGGUUAGAGCGCACCCCUGAUAAGGGUGAGGUCCCUGGUUCAAGUCCAGGAUGGCCCAUAUCUCUAUGUUGGGGGUAUAGCUCAGUUGGUAGAGCGCCUGCUUUGCAAGCAGGAUGUCAGCGGUUCGAGUCCGCUUACCUCCACUGAUUACCACCUCUUCCAUAACCGGUAGAAAGGAAAUGUAGUGAGUCGUGAUCAAAUUCUGAAAGAAUCUAGCUUCCUAAUGAAAUCAUUAAGAUGCUGGACUCAUUGAAUUAAUUUCAUUGUUUUCAGAGAACCUUGACAACUGCAUAGAUUAUUUUUAAAGACAAUAAGCAUCUUUAAUGAUGCAGAUUUAUUAUUUGUGCGAAUGCAUUAAUAACAAUUCUAUUAAGCUGAUGCUUCAAAUUUUGAAGUUAUU
rnacentral:tRNA from 1 species